CAGCAGCCGCGGGAAUACGUAGGUGGCAAGCGUUGUCCGGAAUUAUUGGGCGUAAAGCGCGCGCAGGUGGUUUAAUAAGUCUGAUGUGAAAGCCCACGGCUCAACCGUGGAGGGUCAUUGGAAACUGUUAAACUUGAGUGCAGGAGAGAAAAGUGGAAUUCCUAGCGUAGCGGUGAAAUGCGUAGAGAUUAGGAGGAACACCAGUGGCGAAGGCGGCUUUUUGGCCUGUAACUGACACUGAGGCGCGAAAGCGUGGGGAGCAAACAGGAUUAGAUACCCGCGUAGUCCCUGUCUCUUAUAC
rnacentral:rRNA from 1 species